AUAUUGGGCAAUGGGCGCAAGCCUGACCCAGCAACGCCGCGUGAAGGAAGAAGGCUUUCGGGUUGUAAACUUCUUUUAUGAGGGACGAAGGAAGUGACGGUACCUCAUGAAUAAGCCACGGCUAACUACGUGCCAGCAGCCGCGGUAAUACGUAGGUGGCAAGCGUUGUCCGGAAUUACUGGGUGUAAAGGGCGUGUAGGCGGAGCUGCAAGUCAGAUGUGAAAUCUCCGGGCUUAACCCGGAAACUGCAUUUGAAACUGUAGCCCUUGAGUAUCGGAGAGGCAAGCGGAAUUCCUAGUGUAGCGGUGAAAUGCGUAGAUAUUAGGAGGAACACCAGUGGCGAAGGCGGCUUGCUGGACGACAACUGACGCUGAGGCGCGAAAGCGUGGGGAGCAAACAG
rnacentral:rRNA from 1 species